ACGCACGCUGGCGGCGUGCUUCGCACCUGCAAGUCGAACGGAAAGGCCCUGCUUUUGUGGGGUGCUCGAGUGGCGAACGGGUGAGUAACACGUGAGUAACCUGCCCUUGACUUUGGGAUAACUUCAGGAAACUGGGGCUAAUACCGGAUAGGAGCUCCUGCUGCAUGGUGGGGGUUGGAAAGUUUCGGCGGUUGGGGAUGGACUCGCGGCUUAUCAGCUUGUUGGUGGGGUAGUGGCUUACCAAGGCUUUGACGGGUAGCCGGCCUGAGAGGGUGACCGGCCACAUUGGGACUGAGAUACGGCCCAGACUCCUACGGGAGGCAGCAGUGGGGAAUAUUGCACAAUGGGCGGAAGCCUGAUGCAGCAACGCCGCGUGCGGGAUGACGGCCUUCGGGUUGUAAACCGCUUUCGCCUGUGACGAAGCGUGAGUGACGGUAAUGGGUAAAGAAGCACCGGCUAACUACGUG
rnacentral:rRNA from 1 species